AACGAACGCUGGCGGCAGGCUUAACACAUGCAAGUCGAGCGCCCCGCAAGGGGAGCGGCAGACGGGUGAGUAACGCGUGGGAACGUGCCCUUUGGUUCGGAACAACUCCGGGAAACUGGAGCUAAUACCGGAUAAGCCCUUACGGGGAAAGAUUUAUCGCCAAAGGAUCGGCCCGCGUCUGAUUAGCUAGUUAGUGAGGUAAUGGCUCACCAAGGCGACGAUCAGUAGAUGGUCUGAGAGGAUGAUCAGCCACACUGGGACUGAGACACGGCCCAGACUCCUACGGGAGGCAGCAUUGGGGAAUAUUGGACAAUGGGCGCAAGCCUGAUCCAGCCAUGCCGCGUGAGUGAUGAAGGCCUUAGGGUUGUAAAGCUCUUUUGUCCGGGAAGAUAAUGACUGUACCGGAAGAAUAAGCCCCGGCUAACUUCGUGCCAGCAGCCGCCGUAAUAC
rnacentral:rRNA from 1 species